rnacentral:miRNA from 1 species
GCAUCAUCAUCAAGAUUCAGA